rnacentral:misc_RNA from 1 species
GCAGAUCAUACCGAAUCCAGAAAUAUGGAAGAAGCCCAACAGUGACAACUUCUGCAAAUGUAUUAACAGAUCUACAAGUGAAAAAAGGAUUGCAAAGGCCACAAAUGGCUAUGUUCUAGUUCGUGCAAAUGGCGGAUUGAAUCAAAUGAAAACAGGGAUAAGUGAUAUGGUUGCUAUAGUCAAAAUUAUGAAUGCCACUUUGGUUCUUCCUUCAUUAGAUAACUCUUCCUUCUGGACAGAUUCCAGUGAUUUUAAAGACAUCUUUGAUUGGAAGCACUUCAUU